rnacentral:SRP_RNA from 1 species
GCCGAGCACGGUGGUGCGUGCCUGUAGUCCCAGCUACUCGGGAGGCUGAGGCUGGAGGAUCUCUUGAGUCCAGGAGCUCUAAGCUGUAGUGGGUUAUGCCGAUCGGGUGUCCACACUAAGUUCGGCAUCAAUAUGGUGACCUCCCGGGAGCGGGGGACUACCAGGUUGCCUAAGGAUGGGUGAACUGGCCCAGGUCGGAAAUGGAGAAGGUCAAAACUCCCUUGCUGAUCUGUAGUGGGAUCGCGCCUGUGAAUAGCCACUGCACUCCAGCCUGGGCAACAUAGCGAGACCCCGUCUCU